rnacentral:rRNA from 1 species
GUGGGGAAUUUUGGACAAUGGGCGCAAGCCUGAUCCAGCGACGCCGCGUGGAGGACGAAGGCCUUCGGGUUGUAAACUCCUUUUGGAGGGGAAGAAUAAAUUGACGGUACCCUCAGAAAAAGCCAUGGCUAACUACGUGCCAGCAGCCGCGGUAAUACGUAGGUGGCGAGCGUUACUCGGAAUUACUAGGCGUAAAGCGUAUGUAGGUGGUUAGAUAAGUCUAUGGUGAAAUUUCCUGGCUUAACUGGGAAGGGACAUAGAUACUAUCUGGCUUGAGUGUGGGAGGGGGAGACGGAAUUCCUGGUGUAGCGGUGAAAUGCGUAGAUAUCAGGAGGAACACCGAUGGCGAAAGCAGUCUCCUGGCCCAAUACUGACACUGAGGUACGAAAGCUAGGGUAGCAAACAGGAUUAGAAACCCUAGUAGUCC